rnacentral:lncRNA from 1 species
CCUGCGGGGGGUGAGAGGCGACCCGUCGAUGAUCGAACAGUGACUGACGUGUCGCGCCGACACCCGUGAACCGAACACAACACCAAUGUGCGAGCGAUGUCCCGCUCCUACUUCGGGCGGGCUCGCGCGCCAAUUUUUGGAAGGCCCUGUCAUGCGGGGCCUACUUGACAGUAAUCCAAGAAUAUGUUCGAUCCCCUCUCCCGCCGCCGCCUCCAUCCGCGCUAUCCUCCUCGCGUCUCCAUCGUCUCUGCUCAAGCUUCAUGUCGCUACCCACUGCAAGGGAUGAACAAAUCCGUGUUCUGUUUUUCAGGUGAGCAAAGCAUCUUUAGCAAUAGUAUCUGUAAUAUGAAUUCGUGGACAUAGACAAACUCCAUCCCAAACGGACGUUUGAUUUGGCCGGAUUUUAUCCGUUUGGGAUGGCUAUCCGGAUUUUGUCCGUUUGGGAUGGCUAUGGGCUCGUCCAUGUCUGGACCGUCUCUGUUUUGUUUGUUGGGUCGUGCGUGCGUCUAUCGCGUUUGGGAUGGCUAUGGGCUUGUCCAUGUCUGGACCGUCUCUGUUUGUUGGGUCGUGCGUGCGUCUAUCGCGC